rnacentral:rRNA from 1 species
CUCCCACCCUUUGUGAACGUACCUCUGUUGCUUUGGCGGCUCCGGCCGCCAAAGGACCUUCAAACUCCAGUCAGUAAACGCAGACGUCUGAUAAACAAGUUAAUAAACUAAAACUUUCAACAACGGAUCUCUUGGUUCUGGCAUCGAUGAAGAACGCAGCGAAAUGCGAUAAGUAAUGUGAAUUGCAGAAUUCAGUGAAUCAUCGAAUCUUUGAACGCACAUUGCGCCCCUUGGUAUUCCGGGGGGCAUGCCUGUUCGAGCGUCAUUACAACCCUCAAGCUCUGCUUGGAAUUGGGCACCGUCCUCACUGCGGACGCGCCUCAAAGACCUCGGCGGUGGCUGUUCAGCCCUCAAGCGUAGUAGAAUACACCUCGCUUUGGAGCGGUUGGCGUCGCCCGCCGGACGAACCUUCUGAACUUUUCUCAAGGUUGACCUUACGGAUCAGGUAGGGAUACCCGCUGAACUUAAGCAUAUCAAUAAGCG